rnacentral:rRNA from 2 species
CAUGCAAGUCGAGCGCCCUUUUCGGAGGGAGCGGCAGACGGGUGAGUAACGCGUGGGAAUCUACCUAUCUCUAGGGAAUAACUCAGGGAAACUUGUGCUAAUACCCUAUACGUCCUUCGGGAGAAAGAUUUAUCGGAGAUGGAUGAGCCCGCGUUGGAUUAGCUAGUUGGUGGGGUAAAGGCCUACCAAGGCGACGAUCCAUAGCUGGUCUGAGAGGAUGAUCAGCCACACUGGGACUGAGACACGGCCCAGACUCCUACGGGAGGCAGCAGUGGGGAAUAUUGGACAAUGGGCGCAAGCCUGAUCCAGCCAUGCCGCGUGAGUGAUGAAGGCCCUAGGGUUGUAAAGCUCUUUCACCGGUGAAGAUAAUGACGGUAACCGGAGAAGAAGCCCCGGCUAACUUCGUGCCAGCAGCCGCGGUAAUACGAAGGGGGCUAGCGUUGUUCGGAUUUACUGGGCGUAAAGCGCACGUAGGCGGAUUGGUCAGUUAGGGGUGAAAUCCCAGGGCUCAACCCUGGAACUGCCUUUAAUACUGCCAGUCUUGAGUAUGGAAGAGGUGAGUGGAAUUCCGAGUGUAGAGGUGAAAUUC